rnacentral:rRNA from 1 species
AAUGAACGUUGGCGGCAUGGAUUAGGCAUGCAAGUCGAGCGAGAAGAGUUUUGAAGCUUGCUUUAGAACUCGGACAGCGGCGAAAGGGAGAGUAACGCGUAGUUAUGUACCCUAGGGUCCGGAAUAGCCACGGGAAACUGUGGGUAAUGCCGGAUAACAUCCCCGGAUCAAAGGUGUGAUUCCGCCCUAGGAGCAGACUGCGUCCUACUAGCUAGUUGGUGGGGUAAUGGCCCACCAAGGCAAUGAUGGGUAGCGGGUGUGAGAGCAUGACCCGUCUCACUGAGACUGAGACACUGCCCAGACACCUACGGGUGGCUGCAGUCGAGAAUCUUCGGCAAUGGGCGAAAGCCUGACCGAGCGAUGCCGCGUGCGGGAUGAAGGCCCUCGGGUUGUAAACCGCUGUCGUAGGGGAGGAAGGUUCCGUGAAGAGCGGAAUUUGACCUAUCCUAGGAGGAAGUACGGGCUAAGUUCGUGCCAGCCGCCGCGGUAAUAC